rnacentral:other from 1 species
AGACCCCUGCUGUGUUCGUGAUCGGUAGAAUUUUUUUGAGCCAACACAUACUCAAAUGGGAACCUUCUCUUACUUUGGUGUGCAAGUUCUGGAUCUUACAGAAAAGCCUAAAGGAGUAACGAGGUGCCCACCUUUGCAAAGAGGUUCACGAGAAUCUGCCGACACGGCAUGGUGGUGGUACC